GAGCAUUUUCAUAAUUGAGAAACAUUGCCAGAUCAGAUUGGAGCCUGGUGGAGCUGCUGGCUUUCCAGCCCUCUGUCAAACUGUACAACUCAUGCC